ensembl:lncRNA
GGCAGAGAGAGAGUGGAAGGAGCCGGCAGCGCUGCUUUUGUUGGCUCUUCUGGACGGGAAGAAGGAAAACUGCUACAGAAUAAAACCCAGAACAAGAACAGCACCAAGGGGAGCUGUGUGCAAGAAAUUCCUUCAGGGUGCAGCAUGCUCCAGUAAUGACCAACAAGCUUGCAACUCUUACCUGCAAGGACGGGUGAACGCAGAUGCCUGGCUAGAUGUGGACUUAGGACAAGGCCAGGGAAGGGACCGUCCACGCCGGCUGCCUGGGGAAGGCUGGGUCCUGAGGUGAAGAGUAACAAAAUCCUCUCCCCUGGGAAAAUUGGAAUGAACCCAUAUAGACACACGCAAGCAUCAAAUACGUUGCUGCUGUUCAGUCUCCCAGGCGUGUCUGCCUUUUUGAGACCCCACGGGC